rnacentral:rRNA from 1 species
GGUACCGUCAAAUGCAUGAAUUAUUUACCCAUACACCCUGCUUCCCAGGCGAAAGAGCUUUACGACCCGAAAGCCUUCUUCACUCACGCGGCGUUGCUGCAUCAGGCUUGCGCCCAUUGUGCAAUAUUCCCUA